UCCGGACGGACGCCGAAUCCUGCCGACGUCCGGAUGUCAGGUCGAUGCAGUGUGGACCGGCAGGAGCGGAGGAACCGAGCACGACGGGGCCGCGGCCUUCGGGCCGACGCGCUCCUUGGGGUGAAGCCGUACGCACGGCCGGGCAUUCUUCGCCUGCCCGAACCCGACAGGUCACCCUUCGCAGGCGGCUGACGAAGGGUUG
rnacentral:sRNA from 2 species